rnacentral:misc_RNA from 1 species
GGACGAUAAGGAACUGCAUACGCGAUGCGGAACCUACGGGCAUGCUGGCUGUUUUGGGUGGGUCUACCGAUGAUCGCAGCCUACCCUGUACCUUCGUCGCUUCUCACAGAUUCACCACAUACUCGGUCUUCCUCACAAUGGGAACACUACUGGUUACGUUACGCGAUUGCUCUGUCAAGUGUUACCGCCACAGCGCUGACUUUGGCCGGAUGCCUUUGUUGCCAGAGGCACAGAAGACCUAAGGGAUUUCAGGACAAAGCAGAAAAAUGCAAUCAGGAAUUCAAGGACGGAAGUAUAGGACAAGAGAGUACGCUUGAUCGAUCCGUCGAAGGAUUGGAAUUGGAUGCCUCUAGGACGUUAGCUAUUUCCGAGAGGGUCCAAUUUGAACCUUUACCUGUGGACAGUAUUGUGGCUGGCGCUAGAACCACUCCAACGCACAAAGCGGUACCAUUGUCAGCGCCGCGCAACGAAGAUCAGGAUGCAGAACACGUCAUUCUGCAGGAACCAUGCAGCGAAUGGUUCAACUCCAAUGAACUUUACGUCCCAAGGGAAAAACUCAAGUACCUCAGAGAAAUAGGUCACGGAUGGUUCGGAAAGGUUGUCGAGGGUCGGGCGGAUCUGGAACGAUCGAAGGGUGUAUCGAAAUCGGGCGGUGUAGUCGUGAGAAUUCUCACCGAAGAAGCUACUACCAGAGAAAAGGCCUGGUUUCUUGGCGAGGCCACGCCGUACUUGAAGCUGCGCCAUCAGAAUGUUUUAGCCUUGCUCGGCUUCUGCUUGGAAACUGAUCCGUACCUCUUGCUCUUCGAGUCGUGUCCGGCUGGUGAUCUAAAAGGUUUCUUGCUAUCUAACCGCGAUGUGAAAUCGAGGGAAGCGCUCGCGAGGGAGAACGUUCCCAUAAGAAUCGCAAUGGAGAUCGCGUCCGGCUUGAAGCACAUGCACAGCCACGGUUUCGCGCAUACGGAUCUUUCCGCGAGAAACUGCCUGGUCGCGCCCGACCUGUCGGCUAAGCUGGGCGAUUACGGUACCGGUGUCGAGAAAUAUCCCGAGGACUAUUACAUCAUAGCAGACCGAGCCUUGCCCAUUAGAUGGUCCGCGCCGGAAAGUUUGAACUGCACCGACACGACGAUCGAAACACAGGAGAUCACGCCGCAGGCAAAUAUGUGGAGUUACGCGGUUCUUCUUUGGGAGAUUGCCAGCUGGGGUGAGAGACCUUACAACGAUAUGAACGACGAGCAAGUCAUUCAGAUGAUUCUAUCGUUGAAGAAUCAGUUUCUGCCAAAUGGCACGCGGCUCCUGCAAAGUUAUCUCACCAACUGUCCUCUGAAUAUAUGUCAAGUAACUCGCCUGUGUUUGAACGUGAGCGCGAAGGACAGGCCCUCCCUGGACGACGUGAGGCAGAUGUUCUCGCACGAGCACUCGGCACACGCGGAUUUCGAGCAACGGUGGGAGAGUUUACGCGCGAACGCCGGCAAGCGAAGCGCCAGCUUGCAGGAUCUGCGCGGUAGCAUCGAUUCCGACUACUGGACUCACAUCGUGGACGACGCGCAGACGACGGACACAUUGCGGUCCUCGUUUCGCCUCGGACCCGGGGAGCAGGUGAAAAAUAUUCCCGGAAUGAAGACUGCUGCUACGGUGUUUGCGGAGUCCGGCUCGGAAACCGAGGAGGAGAGCUGGAAGGGCCGGAUCGAGCAGGGUGUAUAUACAGAGAAAGUGAAGCAGAAGUCCAAGUCCGUGACAGAUCUGAUGGUGCUUGUACAUAUCGAUCCGGAUUCCGACGCGGAGUGGUCGAUGGGGGCCCAAACGACGGAGAAGAGCGUGAAGAAGACCGGUAGCGACAGCGACCUCAGGCACACCGUGCCCGCGGAUGAGUUCGACGAGGCAUUGAAGAAGCUGCGCGACCCCUUGCCGAGCAACGCCGCCGGUAAAGUCAGGUCGCUGGAGAAUCUAGAACGGCCGAAACUCUUAACGCUGACCAUGGAUCAGUGUCAGAUGCCGAUUUUGCGGCUGUCUCUGGACAGCGCGGGAAAAGCAGCCGUCGAGAACGACAACAGUGCGUCGUCGAGUGCGAGCGCGGAUAGCACGCAGCGCGGCGGCGAGAGGCACGUACUAAGACUGUCGAAGGGUGACCCGGACCUUCCUCUUCUCCGCUAUGUACCUGACCAAACGUCCUCUGUUGAAGAAGUGGAGAAGAGGGAGGAUCGCGAGGCGCGCGAUGCGCCCUUCGUUAACAAGGAGGACAAUGAUGCUCCUAAUCGUUUAGUUUCAAACGAUAUCGAAGCCGACCAACAGAACACGGUAGACGUUUUACUCUGGAAUCACGCAUUAGACUCCGCUUUAGAGCAUAAAGUACCCGGCUUCACGGACGAGGCGGAAUUCAACGAAUACACAGACGCAUCGAUGAAAGAGAGCAACGCCGGCGCGCCGGAAGUCACUGUGACUGCCGUAUCUACACCGGACGCGAACUUUUGUAACGCCUAUUCGAUUUAUACCGCCGACGACGAAAACUUUUCUACAAUAGAGAACGCGGAGUUGGAGCAAAAAUCGUUGCCAAAUGACGACGAGGAGGAGAGAAAACAAUUGUCCACGCCGGACGACGAGCAGAGUUCCGAUUCUGGUUUUCGAGAUAAAGAGUCCUGCGAGGAAGAGGAAGCGAUCUGUCCGACGUCUGGCAAUCUCUUACCCGCGGCUCCAAUUUCAGAAUCAUCGUAUCCCGAGGAGGAGCCGUUCCAAAUUCUUUUCGAGCUGGAUAAUAUUCUCGAUGCAGAAUACUACGCUACCCCAGCUGGUCCUGAAAGUAUAACGGAAAGUAUAACUUCCGCAUCAAACAUAGAAAGAAACCUUUCGCCCUUGAAACAGAAUGUUUCCGAUUCAAAUCUUGUUUCUGCGAAGGUAAAUGAUUUAGAAAGUAAACAAAUUGAUAUUAUCAGUUCUGAUUCGACAGAAAUAACCGAUGCGGAGACAAGUCCGUGUCGAUAUGAAGAGAGACGUGAAAAUAUAACGGAAACAAUCAUCGAGAUGGAAGCAAAGAGUUUGACUCCUGAGAAAGUGCAAGAGUUUAAGGCCGAAGAUAAUAUUCAUCCAUCGUACGACUCGGAAGCGGAAACCAUCUCGAGAUCCGACAGGAGUACUUAUAAUAUAUACCGAGAUUCGGAACAGUACUCGCAGGGAGAUUACGAAAAUGAGGACGAGGACAGUUCGACGGUGAGCCUGCGUAGCGACAAUUCCUACGUGUCGUUCGGCAUGGAGGAAGAAUUCGUGACGGCGAUUCGUAACGAGCUCAGGGAAAAGUUGCCUCAAGCGCAGAUGCAUAUUGUGGAAUCUCUGGAACGACACGACGACGAUGACGACGACGACGACGAUGAUGAUGAGAACCUUCCUAUCCCCUGCGAUGUGUAUGGCAAACGUUGGGACGACGAUGACAGCGACGAUCCAUCCAAUCAAAUGAGCGGAGGCGUAGAUAUUUCGAUCAGAUACAAUGUGUAUGGAACACCGCUUAGUCCCAUCUUAGAAGAGCGAGAAAGCACCGUCACUUCCGAGUCUUUGAUGUCAAACUCCAGAGAGGCAUCCGUUGCUUCGAGGGAAUCUGUGCCGUCGGAAGAUGUACUGUUAGUCGACACUCGUACGAAUGAAAUGAUAUUACUGGAAGGAUUGGGAGAACGAUUACAGGACGAUGAUCGGGACACGACAAACGGCGAUUUAUCCGAAGAAGAAAAUUUAGAUUUCACUUGUUCAGCCACACGUCCAUUAGAGGAUAAAUCGCGCAUCGUCAAGAUGAGCGGAGGCGCGCCGUUACCGAGCCCUGAGGAAGAAUCCAAAUGGCAGCAGUUGCCCUCGUCCUUCCCGUUGCCUUUACCGUUGCCCUCGCCGUUGCAAGAUGACUUAAUGUCGACGAGUUUUGCCAGUGAACGCGAAUGUUGCAGCCAGGAUGAAGACGAAGAGGAGGACGAAGAGGAGGAGGAGAACGAAGAGGGAGAGGAAGAAGACGAGGAUAACAGUUCUAGUUCCGGUGAAUUUGUUUGGAAGAGAUACAACGAGCCACAUAUCGAACAGAUACGAGUCAAAAGUACCGCAAACAACGACGAAGCGAGUAUGGCGACGAGUGUCGAGUUAGAGGAGGAACUGGGUGCCGAAGGCGAAGAUGAAGAAGAGGAGGAGGAGUUCACACCUUCGGCCUGGAAUGCCGCUUUAGCGCCUCACCGUUCGGCAUUGAGGUCUCCGGACAAAACGUUAAAAUCUGGGGAUGAGUUGGUAGGUGUGUCGAUUACUUAAGUACAGAGCAAUGCAUGUAGUUUUAACAUUCCUCUCGCGUGACUUUCCCUUGCAGAUUUAAUUAGAGGAUCAAAAGAAGAGUGUAUGGUUCAAGAAGCAACGCUACCAUUGCGUGUACGAGUAUCCGAAGGAAACGCUGCCGGACAGUCAAGCGGAU